GUACUGCUGAAGAGUCGCAAACCAAGACGAAAUGGACAUCCAUUAC
rnacentral:hammerhead_ribozyme from 1 species